rnacentral:rRNA from 1 species
GAUGAACGCUGGCGGCGUGCCUAAUACAUGCAAGUCGAGCGAACAGACGCGGAGCUUGCUCCUCUGACGUUAGCGGCGGACGGGUGAGUAACACGUGGAUAACCUACCUAUAAGACUGGGAUAACUUCGGGAAACCGGAGCUAAUACCGGAUAAUAUAUUGAACCGCAUGGUUCAAUAGUGAAAGACGGCUUUGCUGUCACUUAUAGAUGGAUCCGCGCCGCAUUAGCUAGUUGGUAAGGUAACGGCUUACCAAGGCAACGAUGCGUAGCCGACCUGAGCGGGGGAUCGGCCACACUGGAACUGAGACGCGGUCCAGACUCCUACGGGAGGCAGCAGUAGGGAAGCGGCCGCAAUGGGCGAGAGCCUGACGGAGCAACGCCGCGUGAGUGAUGAAGGUCUUCGGAGCGUAAAACUCGGUUAUUAGGGAAGAACAAAUGUGGAAGUAACUAUGCACGGCGUGACGGUACCUAAUCAGAAAGCCACGGCUAACUACGUG